CGUGAUUCAUUUUGGUAUCUACAUAGUAUUAAAACCUGACACAAAGUUAUGGAAAAAAUAGCCGAACGACUAAUUAAACCAUACAUAAUAUCCUUCACCUGGCCACGAUAGGGAAAAGCGUAAUUUUUCAAAGGAAAAAACAAAGGAAACGUAGGGAAAAGAGAGGAAGUGUCAUUGAGAAAGUUGAUUAUGCCCCUAAUAAUUUGCGUCUCCACGACUAAAGAGAGGAACAAAGGAAUUGCAGGGAAACAGGCGGUCCUUUUCGUUGCUCCUAUGUUCCUUCUACAGGAAACACAGUCGCUCUGACGUUACAUAAUUUCCAAUUAGUCGACUGGGAACAGGCGCCGCGGAGGAUACAGAAUCUAUGGAGUAAAUGAAACGCGAAAGGAAAAUGGAUAAUGAUGUCUGCGUUAAACAGGAAUUUUGAGAUUGAAAUGUGAACAUACAUGUGUGUGUAUUGUCGCUCUCUGUGUCAAUCGACAAACAAAAUAACCACGUCUCAUGGCCGAAAGUGAGCGGAAACAGAAUGGUUGCCACGAGUUGAUCGGUGAAGUGUAACGCGGAUCCAUAAGUCAUGAGAUGAAGCACGUUCAAACGACCCUCGACAAACUGAACGAGCGUUGACACGAUGUAAAAGACGCGAGAACACGAGUAUUUACCCGUGUCCAACCUUUGCUCUUUUUCUAAUUUCUUUUCUGUUUAUUUCUUUGGAAUUCUUGAAUCAUUUACUUACAAAUCAAUUAUAGGUAUAUUUUUGAUUUUUGAAUUUUUUCUUUUUAAUUUAUAUUAAUUAUUUAAAAAAAUAUUUUAUUAUAUUUCAAUUU
rnacentral:lncRNA from 1 species